GGACCCGCACAAGCAGUGGAGCAUGUGGUUUAAUUCGAUGCAACGCGAAGAACCUUACCAGGCCUUGACAUCCCCGGAACUUUCUAGAGAUAGAUUGGUGCCUUCGGGAACCGGGUGACAGGUGCUGCAUGGCUGUCGUCAGCUCGUGUCGUGAGAUGUUGGUUAAGUCCCGUAACGAGCGCAACCCCUUGUCCUUAGUUGCCAGCACAUAAUGGUGGGAACUCUAAGGAGACUGCCGUGACAAACCGGAGGAAGGUGGGACGACGUCAAGUCAUCAUGGCCCUUACGGGCCUGGGCUACACACGUGCUACAAUGGCUAGGACAGACGGCUGCAAACCAGCGAUGGGAGCUAAUCGACAAACCUAGUCGU
rnacentral:rRNA from 1 species